AUUGAACGCUGGCGGCAGGCCUAACACAUGCAAGUCGAGCGGAUGAAGGGAGCUUGCUCCUGGAUUCAGCGGCGGACGGGUGAGUAAUGCCUAGGAAUCUGCCUGGUUGUGGGGGAUAACGUCCGGAAACGGGCGCUAAUACCGCAUAAGUCCUGAGGGCGAACGUGGGGGAUCUUCGGACCUUACGCCCUCAGAUGAGCCUAGGUCGGAUUAGCUAGUUGGUGGGGUAAAGGCCUACCAAGGCGACGAUCCGUAACUGGUCUGAGAGGAUGAUCAGUCACACUGGAACUGAGACACGGUCCAGACUCCUACGGGAGGCAGCAGUGGGGAAUAUUGGACAAUGGGCGAAAGCCUGAUCCAGCCAUGCCGCGUGUGUGAAGAAGGUCUUCGGAUUGUAAAGCACUUUAAGUUGGGAGGAAGGGCAGUAAGUUAAUACCUUGCUGUUUUGACGUUACCAACAGAAUAAGCACCGGCUAACUUCGUG
rnacentral:rRNA from 1 species